AUGAGUGACCCACAUUGCAGCUGGGCUGGGUUGGGGUCAAGUGGACGGCAUCUGGGCUGGGGUAAAAUGGACGGCAGCUGCGUUCGGCCCCCACCACUGUCUUGUCGGUCGGGCCACCGCCGCGACCCCAUCGCCAUCGGACCGAUGACGCGGCCGGAAUCGUACCACUGCAGUGGCGAUCGUCAUUGGGACCGCCGCGCGACGAAUCGCCACAGUUGGCCAUCGGACUCCCACCGCACCCCGUCACCAGGCAGGCUCCGUCGCCGCCAAAGCUUCGCCGGCGGCGGAUCAAGGCGCCGAUUUUUCUGA
rnacentral:rRNA from 1 species